CCCGCUGAACUUAAGCAUAUCAAUAAGCAGAGGAAAAGAAACUAACAAGGAUUCCCUUAGUAACUGCGAGUGAAGUGGGAAGAGCUCAAAUUUAAAAUCUGAUGUGCCUCUGGCCAUCCGAAUUGUAGUCUGGAGAAGUGCUUUCUGUGCUGGACCAUGUUCAAGUCCCUUGGAAUAGGGCAUCAAAGAGGGUGAGAAUCCCGUCUCUGACAUGGACUACCAGUGCUUUGUGAUGUGCUCUCAAAGAGUCGAGUUGUUUGGGAAUGCAGCUCAAAAUGGGUGGUAAAUUCCAUCUAAAGCUAAAUACAGGCGAGAGACCGAUAGCGAACAAGUACCGUGAGGGAAAGAUGAAAAGUACUUUGGAAAGAGAGUUAAACAGUACGUGAAAUUGCUGAAAGGGAAACACUUGAAGUCAGUUAUGUCUUCCAGGAGUCAAUCAUGCUGCUUAGGUGGCUGUUGUAUUUUCUGGUCUGACAGGCCAGCAUCAAUUUCAACUGUCAGAAAAGGUUCAAUGGAAUGUGACACCCUUGUGGUGUGUUAUAGCCUAUGUUCAUAUAUGAUAGUUGGGAUUGAGGACUGCAGAUUUAUCUUAGGAUGCUGGUGUAAUGGCUUUAAGUGACCCGUCUUGAAACACGG
rnacentral:rRNA from 1 species